CCUACGGGAGGCAGCAGUGGGGAAUUUUGGACAAUGGGCGAAAGCCUGAUCCAGCAAUGCCGCGUGUGGGAAGAAGGCCUUCGGGUUGUAAACCACUUUUGUACGGAACGAAACGGCUCGCUUUAAUACAGUGGGCUAAUGACGGUACCGUAAGAAUAAGCACCGGCUAACUACGUGCCAGCAGCCGCGGUAAUACGUAGGGUGCGAGCGUUAAUCGGAAUUACUGGGCGUAAAGCGUGCGCAGGCGGUUAUAUAAGACAGUUGUGAAAUCCCCGGGCUCAACCUGGGAAUUGCAUCUGUGACUGUAUAGCUAGAGUACGGUAGAGGGGGAUGGAAUUCCGCGUGUAGCAGUGAAAUGCGUAGAUAUGCGGAGGAACACCGAUGGCGAAGGCAAUCCCCUGGACCUGUACUGACGCUCAUGCACGAAAGCGUGGGGAGCAAACAGGAUUAGAUACCCUGGUAGUCCACGCCCUAAACGAUGUCAACUGGUUGUUGGGUGCAUUAGUACUCAGUAACGAAGCUAACGCGUGAAGUUGACCGCCUGGGGAGUACGGCCGCAAGGUUGAAACGUCAAAUGAAUUGACGG
rnacentral:rRNA from 1 species